rnacentral:rRNA from 1 species
GACGAACGCUGGCGGCGUGCCUAAUACAUGCCAGUCGAACGCUGAAGGAGGAGCUUGCUUCUCUGGAUGAGUUGCGAACGGGUGAGUAACGCGUAGGUAACCUGCCUGGUAGCGGGGGAUAACUAUUGGAAACGAUAGCUAAUACCGCAUAAGAGUAGAUGUUGCAUGACAUUUGCUUAAAAGGUGCAAUUGCAUCACUACCAGAUGGACCUGCGUUGUAUUAGCUAGUUGGUGGGGUAACGGCUCACCAAGGCGACGAUACAUAGCCGACCUGAGAGGGUGAUCGGCCACACUGGGACUGAGACACGGCCCAGACUCCUACGGGAGGCAGCAGUAGGGAAUCUUCGGCAAUGGACGGAAGUCUGACCGAGCAACGCCGCGUGAGUGAAGAAGGGUUUCGGAUCGUAAAGCUCUGUUGUAAGAGAAGAACGAGUGUGAGAGUGGAAAGUUCACACUGUGACGGUAGCUUACCAGAAAGGGACGGCUAACUACGUG